rnacentral:rRNA from 1 species
CAGCAGCCGCGGUAAUACAGAGGGUGCGAGCGUUAAUCGGAUUUACUGGGCGUAAAGCGUGCGUAGGCGGCUUCUUAAGUCGGAUGUGAAAUCCCUGAGCUUAACUUAGGAAUUGCAUUCGAUACUGGGAAGCUAGAGUAUGGGAGAGGAUGGUAGAAUUCCAGGUGUAGCGGUGAAAUGCGUAGAGAUCUGGAGGAAUACCGAUGGCGAAGGCAGCCAUCUGGCCUAAUACUGACGCUGAGGUACGAAAGCAUGGGUAGCAAACAGGAUUAGAUACCCCCGUAGUCCCUGUCUCUUAUAC